rnacentral:rRNA from 1 species
GAAUUCGCCCUUGGGGAAUUUUCCGCAAUGGGCGAAAGCCUGACGGAGCAAUACCGCGUGAGGGAGGAAGGCUCUUGGGUUGUAAACCUCUUUUCUCAGGGAAGAACAGAAUGACGGUACCUGAGGAAUAAGCAUCGGCUAACUCCGUGCCAGCAGCCGCGGUAAUACGGAGGAUGCAAGCGUUAUCCGGAAUGAUUGGGCGUAAAGGGUCCGCAGGUGGCAUUGUAAGUCUGCUGUUAAAGAGUUUGGCUCAACCAAAUAAGAGCAGUGGAAACUACAAAGCUAGAGUGUGGUCGGGGCAGAGGGAAUUCCUGGUGUAGCGGUGAAAUGCGUAGAUAUCAGGAAGAACACCAGUGGCGAGGGCGCUCUGCUAGGCCGAGACUGACACUGAGGGACGAAAGCUAGGGGAGCGAAUGGGAUUAGAUACCCCAGUAGUCCUAGCCGUAAACGAUGGAUACUAGGCGUAGCUCGUAUCGACCCGAGCUGUGCCGGAGCUAACGCGUUAAGUAUCCCGCCUGGGGAGUACGCAGGCAACUGUGAAACUCAAAGGAAUUGACGGGGGCCCGCACAAGCGGUGGAGUAUGUGGUUUAAUUCGAUGCAACGCGAAGAACCUUACCAAGGCUUGACAUGUCACGAAUCCUAUUGAAAGAUGGGAGUGCCUUCGGGAGCGUGAA